ensembl:lncRNA
AUUGUGAAUGAGUUUAUGUUUGUCUUGCUCACAUGAAACCUUCCUCCAAAGUGUGGAUGGAUUUGAUUUGACAAGAAGAUGACCAGGUAUUACAACAGAGAGACAGAAAGGCAAGAAAACAUCCUAACUGCCAACAUGCCCCAUGAUCUGGCAUUUGCAAUUUAAAUCUCGCUUCCCUUGCCACUCCACUCACCUGAGUCAGAGGCUUCACCCUCUGGGCCACCACCAACAGAGAGCAUUCAGCAGCACCAACCAGGCUCCAAGUCUUUGCCUGAGCUGUUCUCAGGUAGGUCCGGGUAGCAUGCAGUGGAUUUGGAAGCUUGAAACUACACAGAGGCUCUUGGUCAAUGCACAGCGGCUGCCCAGCUUCCGUAUGGAGCUCUAACGCACCCUAUCUUUAAUCUUGAGUUUCUGGAAUUAGGCUCCAACAUAACGGCUAUCAACCAAAGUCAACGUUUAUGUAUAAAUACCCUUCCUCCUUUAAUUCUAACCUAUUGUCCUGGUAAAUUUUGGAAAACUGAACUUCAGCAUGGCUGAGCUACUGUGAGAGGAUGUUGCGGGCUUCGUGUUCACUACAUGAAAAAAUGAAAUCCUAACUGCCUUAGCUCUGCAAAGGAAGCCUGGAAGAUGGGCCAAAUGUUUUUCCAGAUCCACAAUUGGAGACACAAAUCUGGCACACUGCUAGGACUGAAUGAUGUAACACGUAAAACUACAAGAUGCUGGGUAAAUUUAAAUGCAGAGAAAUGAUGACAAAUAUUAGUAUAUCUCUUGUAAUACUGGGGAUAUACU